AAACUUUAACCAGGAGUGUUUCUUCAGCAGAUCAGAAAAGUGAAGAGAGUCCUGUUUGGUCCAGUCGAUCCGAAGGCGACGCAAAAAUUCCUGGAGAAUGAGCUGAAGAAGAUCAGCGUGACCAAAUCGGAAAAAUGGAAUUUCGAUUUUAAAACCGAAAGUACUUUGGAACCUACCGGGGCGUUUCAUUGGCGGGCCGCCACACCCCGAAAAGAAAACGUUCCAGUUAAGAGGAAAGUUGAGGAGGAGUUCGACAUCUCCAGCCAAUAUUGUGAUUUGGCAGAGGCUGAUUUGGUAAGGCCGAGACCGAUCAAAUCGUCCCCCAGCAGUAAUGAGGAGCACAAAAACCAGCAAAGCAGGAUAACAGAUUUUAUGAAAGCUAUGAAAAGACCGCUGACUUCAUCGGACGUUUCGAAGAAGUCAUCAUCAGAUUGGAACACGGAGGUACCAACGAAAAUACCAAGACUGGAUAUUUCCAGUUAAGUUGCUGAAAAGAUUGGGCAAUCCAGCUUUGCAAGGGAAUCCCAAACAGUCAAACGAAGCCCAUUCGUUGUGAUUCAAUUUCCAAAUACACCAAGGCAGAUUUUUGUAUGUUUGGGUUUCCCGGUAAGUUUUUUACCUUCUUCCACUUGAUACAAAUCAUUGUUGAUCUCCAAAACAAAUUUAUUUUAUUAUUAUUUUUUUAAGUAGAGUAAAAUAUUAAGUUUUUGUUCAAAGAAUUAUUAAAUCGUAUAUUUUAAUUCUAGGAACAGUUGAUUUUCCAGAUAGUCGUUGAAUAAGAGGGCUGCAAAUGAUGCGUCCAUAAUGUCUCAAAUCAAUUCAAAUUGAUUGUAAUUAAUUGUCUGGAAUAUUUAACUGUUCCUACGACAGCCGUAGGUUACUGUACUAUAAAUUUGUUGGUCUUUAGACUUUAAUUAUAUUUAUUUUUCGUGU
rnacentral:lncRNA from 1 species